rnacentral:lncRNA from 1 species
CUUGUGUGUAAAUAUAGUUCCAAAACAGAAUAAAUAGAAUCGAGAACAGAACCACGUGUUUAUCACAUGGAGUCAUUUUAACAUUUAAUACUUUUAAAUUUUAAAUUGUCGUGGGUGUGAAAAUUCGUUGACCAAACGGUAGUCAAAACUGACAGAAUCAACAAACCCCUUAAUCAAGCCCCUGAUAAACCCAUAUCCAUUUGAUUAAAUGAUCAAUCGGAUUAAAUCGAUAUUUAUGGGGAUCAAUAAGAAAUUCCCCCUUUUCCAAUAAUGAUGUAAAACAACCAGACUGUGUCAUCAGACUAAAAAAAGAUAUUAUUGUAAUAUUUACUGUGAGUUUUCUGGCGUUUCAAGUUCCGAUCGUUGGAAUAGACCCCCUGCGUUAAAAGAGGAUAUGAAUGGGG